UUGCACGAUGCCUUCCGGGCUUCUCUGAAUAGUUAUCGAUGACGAAGUAAGCCCCAAUGCUUGUGCUUCAACGCAGGCCUUCUGUGUUGCAGUUUAGCCUGUGUACCUCACUUUCCUAUGAUUAUAUCUGUGUCAAUUCGACGGCUACAUAC